AUUAACGCUAGCGGCAGGCAUAAUACAUGCAAGUUGAACGGCAGCACAGGUAGCAAUACUGGGUGGCGAGUGGCGCACGGGUGCGUAACACGUAUGCAACCUACCCUAUACAGGCGAAUAACCUUUAGAAAUGAGGGCUAAUACGCCGUAGUAUUACAGAUGGGCAUCUAUUUGUAAUUAAAGAUUUAUCGGUAUAGGAUGGGCAUGCGUCCCAUUAGUUAGUUGGUAAGGUAACGGCUUUACCAAGUACGAUG
rnacentral:rRNA from 1 species